CGGGACGGGUGAGUAACGCGUGGGUAACCUGCCUUGUACAGGGGGAUAACAGUUGGAAACGGCUGCUAAUACCGCAUAAGCGCACAGCAUCACAUGAUGCAGUGUGAAAAACUCCGGUGGUAUAAGAUGGACCCGCGUUGGAUUAGCUAGUUGGUGAGGUAACGGCCCACCAAGGCGACGAUCCAUAGCCGACCUGAGAGGGUGACCGGCCACAUUGGGACUGAGACACGGCCCAA
rnacentral:rRNA from 1 species